UUCUUCAAGAGGAUAACCUGGCGGGUCCCUUGCAAGGACACUCCUGCAGAAGUUUUACUUAGAGAAAGUGGGCGGGGCAACUUCUUGAUUGACAUUCUCGCCUGCCAAUCGGAGAUUACAGUUUCGAUUUUGAGAGUGAGAUUUUUCAUAUUCCUCUAUUUCAUUGUCUUAAAUUUAUGGACUUUCCUAAUUAAAAAAAGAAUAAAUAAAAAUUAAUUUUCCCUAGAGUUCUCACAGCAAGCUAAGGCCCUGUGUAAACUAAUAUAUGAAACCUUCACAACCAAAAGCCAAACAUAAUCAAGCCUUCUUCAAAGAGAAUUUAUAUAAAUAUUUCCUUUUCAAGGUACAGACUAUACUUAACUAGGAACUUGUCAUAAUUCUUAGAUCGAGUUUGAUGGUAUAUGUACUCGAACAAGUUAUGAUCAUGUUACGUCUGAGUCCAACAACGGAUGAUCGCUUUUCAUUUCUUUUUCAUGUAAGAUUGGGAACAUGUAAGAAGAAAAGGAAAAAUUGAAGGGGUAACUUCUUUAGGAGGAUAACAUGGUGGGUCCCCUCCAACGUCUCUCCUGCAGAAGUUCGCCAGCCAGCUAAGGCUCUGCAUAUAUAAUAUAUAUAUAUAUAUAUAUAUAUAUAGAUAUAUAUAUGUGAAACCUUCAUAGCACCAAAAGCCAACAUCAUCAUCAAGCACCGAACCUGCUUGAAGCUGACCUUUCCUCUCUUUGAUUUUCUGGGCUUUCCAUUGAGGAAGACGCAGAGUUCCCAACUUUCUGCUUGUCGCAGCGGAGAUGCUGUGAGAUGAUGCAUAAGGAAGAGGAAUUCCUGGCGGAACCACUGCCGGUUCGGAGAUCAAAACUCCACCCCUGCGUCGACGAACUCGUCAAUCAUCACUUGUGCUUGACAUUCUGUCAAGCUAAUAUGAGUGCGAGAUUCAAUCCCAAUGGGAUCAUGCACGAAUACCACCUAAUGAAUUAAUUUUCAAUUAGGGAUUGAAUUUCGUCCCACCAGGUGUAUUUAUUUAUGCAAUUAUAGUUGAUUAUUGGAUUCAACACAGUUCCACUACGUCGAUAAUUUGGACACGAUCGAAAGUUGCUAUGAAGUUUUUUCGAUGGAAAAGUGAUUCAAGUAGCUCUAGUGAGUAUAGAUUCAAGAUAUGAAGACCAAAUUCUAAGUAUUUGGCUUGCAUUUUUGGUGAAGAAAUGCAGAGCAGACCCUUGGCUUCAGGCGAAGCUUGGCAAGUGUAACUUGUGACAUGAAUAACUCGCGGUAGAGAUUUUUUUCAAAUGUGAAUCUUAUGCAUUGGAGCAGAUGUUUACCCACAUCAUGCUGUUGUGGAUGGUGGUCAAGAAAUAGGAAGAUUAAUUGUUUGGUCCGGUUUCAUCAUUCACAAGAUAUUACUAUGCAGAAAUUAUGCAGUAACAGAGUAUAUACAGUGAGAUACAGCAGCAUAUACUCAGGAUAGUUCCUUGGCCUCCUCUGUUGGGGGCCAUGCUUGAGAGCAAUUGAUAUACUGCAUUAGCACCGGUAGACCAUGUUCAGUUUUCGUAUUUCAACCGCCCUUUUCAGUUAAUGUAUAGAAUAUCUGUACAAAUAUAUAUCCGUAAUGAAAGUGUUUCGCGUUUCCUUGGCAA